CAAUAGCGUAUAUUAAAGUUGUUGCAGUUAGAACGCUCGUAGUCGGAUUUCGGGGCGGGCCGACCGGUCUGCCGAUGGGUACGCACUGGUCGGCGCGUCCUUCCUUCCGGAGACCGUGCCUACUCUUAACUGAGCGGGGGCGGGAGACGGAUCGUUUACUUUGAAAAAAUCAGAGUGUUUCAAGCAGGCAGCUCGCUCUUGCAUGGAUUAGUAUGGGAUAAUGAAAUAGGACUUUGGUGCUAUUUUGUUGGUUUCGAACACCGAAGUAAUGAUUAACAGGGACAGUCAGGGGCACUCGUAUUCCGCCGAGAGAGGUGAAAUUCUCAGACCAGCGGAAGACGAACUACUGCGAAAGCAUUUGCCAGGGAUGUUUUCACUGA
rnacentral:rRNA from 1 species